rnacentral:rRNA from 1 species
UUUAUGGAGAGUUUGAUCCUGGCUCAGGAUGAACGCUGGCGGCGUGCCUAAUACAUGCAAGUCGAGCGAACAGACGAGGAGCUUGCUCCUUUGACGUUAGCGGCGGACGGGUGAGUAACACGUGGAUAACCUACCUAUAAGACUGGGAUAACUUCGGGAAACCGGAGCUAAUACCGGAUAACAUGUUGAACCGCAUGGUUCAACAGUGAAAGACGGUCUUGCUGUCACUUAUAGAUGGAUCCGCGCCGCAUUAGCUAGUUGGUAAGGUAACGGCUUACCAAGGCAACGAUGCGUAGCCGACCUGAGAGGGUGAUCGGCCACACUGGAACUGAGACACGGUCCAGACUCCUACGGGAGGCAGCAGUAGGGAAUCUUCCGCAAUGGGCGAAAGCCUGACGGAGCAACGCCGCGUGAGUGAAGAAGGUCUUCGGAUCGUAAAACUCUGUUAUUAGGGAAGAACAAAUGUGUAAGUAACUAUGCACGUCUUGACGGUACCUAAUCAGAAAGCCACGGCUAACUACGUGCCAGCAGCCGCGGUAAUACGUAGGUGGCAAGCGUUAUCCGGAAUUAUUGGGCGUAAAGCGCGCGUAGGCGGUUUUUUAAGUCUGAUGUGAAAGCCCACGGCUCAACCGUGGAGGGUCAUUGGAAACUGGAAAACUUGAGUGCAGAAGAGGAAAGUGGAAUUCCAUGUGUAGCGGUGAAAUGCGCAGAGAUAUGGAGGAACACCAGUGGCGAAGGCGACUUUCUGGUCUGUAACUGACGCUGAUGUGCGAAAGCGUGGGGAUCAAACAGGAUUAGAUACCCUGGUAGUCCACGCCGUAAACGAUGAGUGCUAAGUGUUAGGGGGUUUCCGCCCCUUAGUGCUGCAGCUAACGCAUUAAGCACUCCGCCUGGGGAGUACGACCGCAAGGUUGAAACUCAAAGGAAUUGACGGGGACCCGCACAAGCGGUGGAGCAUGUGGUUUAAUUCGAAGCAACGCGAAGAACCUUACCAAAUCUUGACAUCCUCUGACCCCUCUAGAGAUAGAGUUUUCCCCUUCGGGGGACAGAGUGACAGGUGGUGCAUGGUUGUCGUCAGCUCGUGUCGUGAGAUGUUGGGUUAAGUCCCGCAACGAGCGCAACCCUUAAGCUUAGUUGCCAUCAUUAAGUUGGGCACUCUAAGUUGACUGCCGGUGACAAACCGGAGGAAGGUGGGGAUGACGUCAAAUCAUCAUGCCCCUUAUGAUUUGGGCUACACACGUGCUACAAUGGACAAUACAAAGGGUAGCGAAACCGCGAGGUCAAGCAAAUCCCAUAAAGUUGUUCUCAGUUCGGAUUGUAGUCUGCAACUCGACUACAUGAAGCUGGAAUCGCUAGUAAUCGUAGAUCAGCAUGCUACGGUGAAUACGUUCCCGGGUCUUGUACACACCGCCCGUCACACCACGAGAGUUUGUAACACCCGAAGCCGGUGGAGUAACCUUUUGGAGCUAGCCGUCGAAGGUGGGACAAAUGAUUGGGGUGAAGUCGUAACAAGGUAGCCGUAUCGGAAGGUGCGGCUGGAUCACCUCCUUUCU